rnacentral:rRNA from 1 species
UACGUAGGGUGCGAGCGUUAAUCGGAAUUACUGGGCGUAAAGCGUGCGCAGGCGGUCUGUUAAGACAGAUGUGAAAUCCCCCGGGCUUAACCUGGGAACUGCAUUUGUGACUGCAUAGCUGGAGUACGGCAGAGGGGGGAUGGAAUUCCGCGUGUAGCAGUGAAAUGCGUAGAUAUGCGGAGGAACACCGAUGGCGAAGGCAGUCCCCCUGGGCCUGUACUGACGCUCAUGCACGAAAGCGUGGGGAGCAAACAGGAUUAGAACUACCUAGUA